rnacentral:rRNA from 1 species
UACGUAGGGGGCUAGCGUUGUCCGGAUUUAUUGGGCGUAAAGAGCGUGUAGGCGGCCAGGUAGGUCUGCUGUGAAAACUCGAGGCUCAACCUCGAGACGUCGGCGGAAACCAUCUGGCUAGAGUCCGGAAGAGGAGAGUGGAAUUCCUGGUGUAGCGGUGAAAUGCGCAGAUAUCAGGAAGAACACCCGUGGCGAAGGCGGCUCUCUGGGCAUUAACUGACGCUGAGGAGCGAAAGCAUGGGGAGCGAACAGG